AUCUCCCCCACUUCCUUUAAGUUGCGGGGUCACAGUGUCACUUCCUCCUCCUCCGCUCCGCUGUGGCUGUGGCUGGUCUGGGCGUGUUGGCAAACAAUUUCACUGAACUUGUUAACUACGAAUAGUACAACAUCCACAAUUAGAGCCUCCAUAUAGAUUGUGCGCACCUGGCCGUGUAUGGAGAGGAGAUCGCGACGCGAAAUUCGAAGGUCAGGUUUUUUCUAUGGACUGGUUGAACUCCAGCUUUGCAGAAACACUCGACUCAACUAAGAAAUGAACGAUGGCGAGCUUACCCAAAAACCUGAACUUAAUUUAACCUGAAUCAAAUAACUGGACUGUUUUUUUAUUUUGUUGUUAUUCUUGUACUCUGUAAAAAUUUAUUUUCAAUAUACUUCACCCAACUUCAUAUUUAUGACUUGUGUCUUUUCAU